AAAUCCUGACUAGUAAUGGAAAGGAUGGAUUUAUUACAUACAAAAACCAAUGCAUUAAAUUGUUAAAGAUUUAAGUGGUCUUUAUUGGUGAUUCAUAAUAACUUUACGAAUCGUACGGCCUUGUGCUGACGAUAAUUCAUUCAAAUUUCUGCCCUAUCAACUUUCGAUGGUAGUAUAGAGGACUACCAUGGUGGUAACGGGUAACGGAGAAUCAGGGUUUGAUUCCGGAGAAGGAGCCUGAGAAACGGCUACUACUUCUAAGGAAGGCAGCAGGCGCGCAAAUUACCCAAUCCCGACACGGGGAGGUAGUGACAAAAAAUAACAAUAUCGAUAAAUUAUUUUAUUGAUAAUUGGAAUGAGUACAAUCUAAAUCCCUUAACGAGUAACAAUUGGAGGGCAAGUCUGGUGCCAGCAGCCGCGGUAAUUCCAGCUCCAAUAGCAUAUAUUAAAGUUGUUGCAGUUAAAAAGCUCGUAGUUGGAUUUUAAAGUUUUAUAUUUUGCGCCAUAAUUUUUAAUUAUGUGUUUUGUUGAAAUAUCCUUACUAGAUAUUCACAAUUAUUUUUAAUUAAAUAGUUGGUUUUAUUCGAAAGGAUAAAAUGCUUAAUAGGUCUGGGAAUUAAGAUGUGGUUUAUUUACGAGGCAACUUGUUGAAUAAAUCUGCUUAAUUAACUUCUAUUAAGUAGAAUUCUAGUUCAUUUACUUUGAGUAAAUUAGAGUGUUCAAAGCAAACAAGCAUUGUUGUUAUGAAUACUAUUAGCAUGGGAUAAUGGAACAGGACACUGGGUCUAUUUCGUUGGUUUUUAGAUCUAAUGUAAUGAUUAAAAGGGAUAGUUGGGGGCACUAGUAUUUAAUUGUCAGAGGUGAAAUUCUUGGAUUUAUUAAAGACUAACUUCUGCGAAAGCAUUUGUCAAAGAUGUUUUCAUUAAUCAAGAACGAAAGUUAGGGGAUCGAAGACGAUCAGAUACCGUCGAACCAUAAACUAUGCCGACCAGGGAUUGGACGUCGUUUUAUUUUUAUUAAAAAGAUGACACCUCCAGCACCUUCUUACGAGAAAUCACAAGUUUUUGGGUUCUGGGGGGAGUAUGGUCGCAAGACUGAAACUUAAAGGAAUUGACGGAAGGGCACCACCAGGAGUGGAGCCUGCGGCUUAAUUUGACUCAACACGGGAAAACUCACCAGGUCCGGACACAGUUAGGAUUGACAGAUUGAGAGCUCUUUCUUGAUUCUGUGGGUGGUGGUGCAUGGCCGUUCUUAGUUGGUGGAGUGAUUUGUCUGGUUAAUUCCGAUAACGAACGAGACCUCAGCCUGCUAAUUAGUUGUAUGAAUAAUAACAAUUAUGGGUGGUUUGGUCGGAGAGGAUUUAUUUUCUUUGAUUGAUAUCAGAUGCUGGUAAAACAGUAUUUUUACUUCUUAGAGGGACACUUGGUGUUUAACCAAGGGAAGUUUGAGGCAAUAACAGGUCUGUGAUGCCCUUUAGAUGUUCUGGGCUGCACGCGCGCUACACUGAUACAAUCAACAAGUACAAAAGACCUUGGCUGAAAAGUCUGGGUAAACUUAUGAAAUUGUAUCGUGCUGGGGAUCGAUAAUUGCAAUUAUUUAUCGUGAACGAGGAAUUCCUAGUAAGCACAAGUCAACAGCUUGUGCUGAUUACGUCCCUGCCCUUUGUACACACCGCCCGUCGCUGCUACUGAUGGUUGGUCCGGUGAAAUCUUAGGAUUCAGAAUUGUUGCUAUUGAUU
rnacentral:rRNA from 1 species